AGAAUUUGAUCUUGGUUCAGAUUGAAUGCUGACGGCGUGGAUGAGGCAUGCAAGUCGAACGGGAUAUCAAGCUUGCUUGAUAUCUAGUGGCGGAAGGGUUAGUAAUACAUGAACAAUCUACCUUUAGCUUUGGGAUAACAGCUGGAAACGGCUGCUAAUACCGGAUAAAGUGUUAUAUGGCAUCAUAUAACAUGAAAACUGGGGACUAUAUGGCCUAGUGGCAGAAGAGGAGUUCAUGGGAUAUCAGCUAGUUGGUGGGGUAAAAGCCUACCAAGGCGAAGACGUCUAGGCGGAUUGAGAGAUUGACCGCCAACACUGGGACUGAGACACUGCCCAGACUCCUACGGGAGGCUGCAGUCGAGAAUCUUUCGCAAUGGGCGAAAGCCUGACGAAGCGACGCCGUGUGAACGAAGAAGGCCUUCGGGUUGUAAAGUUCUUUCGCUAGGGAACAAGGGAUAGGUGCUAAUAUCAUCUAAACUUGAGUGUACCUGGUAAAGAAGCACCGGCUAACUCCGUGCCAGCAGCUGCGGUAAUACGGAGGGUGCAAGCAUUAAUCGGAAUUAUUGGGCGUAAAGGGCGCGUAGGCGUCUUGGCAAGUCACCUGUGAAAUUCCAAAGCUCAACUUUGGAGCUGCGGGUGAAACUGCUGAGAUGGAGUAUAGGCGGGGAAAACAGAAUUCCACGUGUAGCGGUGAAAUGCGUAGAUAUGUGGAGGAAUACCGGUGGCGAAGGCGGUUUUCUAGUCUAUUACUGACGCUGAUGCGCGAAAGCUAGGGGAGCAAACAGGAUUAGAUACCCUGGUAGUCCUAGCCGUAAACGAUGCAUACUUGAUGUAGUCAGACUCAACCCUGACUGUGUCGGAGCUAACGCGGUAAGUAUGCCGCCUGAGGAGUACGCUCGCAAGGGUGAAACUCAAAAGAAUUGACGGGGGCCCGCACAAGCAGUGGAGCAUGUGGUUUAAUUCGAUGCAACGCGAAGAACCUUACCCAGGCUUGACAUGCAGAUGCCGUAUACAGAGAUGUAUAUUUCCUUCGGGACGUCUGUGCAGGUGCUGCAUGGCUGUCGUCAUCUCGUGCCGUGAGGUGUUGGGUUAAGUCCCGCAACGAGCGCAACCCUUAUCGUUAGUUGCCAACACGUAAAGGUGGGAACUCUAACGAGACUGCCUAGGUUAACUAGGAGGAAGGUGAGGAUGACGUCAAGUCCGCAUGGCCCUUAUGUCUGGGGCUACACACGUGCUACAAUGGUCGAUACAGAAGGCAGCGAAAUCGAAAGGUGAAGCAAAUCCUAGAAAGUCGACCUCAGUUCGGAUUGUAGUCUGCAACUCGGCUACAUGAAGCUGGAAUUGCUAGUAAUGGCGUGUCAGCAACAACGCCGUGAAUACGUUCCCGGGCCUUGUACACACCGCCCGUCACAUCAUGGGAGUUGGUUUUGCCCGAAGUCACUGACUUAACCGCAAGGGAAGAGGUGCCUAAGGUAAGGCCGAUAACUGGGAUGAAGUCGUAACAAGGUA
rnacentral:rRNA from 1 species